rnacentral:rRNA from 1 species
CUAUACAUGACUCUGCGCAUAUCAAUAAGCGGAGGAAAAGGAAACUAACAAGGAUUCCCUUAGUAACGGCGAGUGAAGCGGGAAGAGCUCAAAUUUGAAAUCUUCAAGGUUCUACCUUGACGAAUUGUAGUUUAUAGAAGUGUUUUCUGUUAGUAGAGUGGCAAAAGUUCUUUGGAAUAGGACAUCAUAGAGGGUGAGAAUCCCGUAUUUGGUCAUUCUUUCUAGCUUUGUGAUACACUUUCAACGAGUCGGAUUGUUUGGGAAUGCAGUCCAAAAUGGGUGGUAAAUUUCAUCUAAAGCUAAAUAUUGGCGAGAGACCGAUAGCGAACAAGUACCGUGAGGGAAAGAUGAAAAGAACUUUGAAAAGAGAGUUAAACAGUACGUGAAAUUGUCAAAAGGGAAGCGUUUGACACCAGUGUUGUUUUUCCGAAAAUCAAUUACGAAUGUUUUGUUUUUGAGGAAGUUAUGACUUCAUCGGCUUGCUUCUCUCUUUACGAAACUUUCUUAAUGCACUUUUCGGUUAACAAGUCAACAUCAAUUUCUUUUGUUGUAAAAGGGUAUGAGGAAGGUAAGCUUUCUUUUCGGAGAAAGUGUUUAUAGCCUUGUACCUCUGCAAUCGGAGAGAUUGAGGUCUGCAGCGUAGAUCCUUCGGGGUUAGAUACAUUUGUGCUAAGUUAUAGCUUUUCAUAGACAACUUGUUGACUAUGUUAGUCUUGUAGCUUACUCGCUUAGUGCUAUUUUACCUACGCUUAGGAUGUUGAUAGUCACAGCGUGUAC